GGGAUAUCUGUCAGGUAAGUGAAAGACAGGGGAAUGGAAAACACCUGAAGUCACAGGGAGAUUAAGAGAAAGGUUUGUGAGGUGCAAGGAGCAGGUGGAGAGAAGUGUCAGCUGUGGUUUUACUUGUUAGCAGAAAAGCACUGAAAACUGCUGCAGUGUUAUUUGGAGAAUCCUCCUGGCUCUGGAGGUUCCUUUCAUAGAACAAGGAGGAUAUGAACAUGGACAAAAUGACUUUGUGAUCCAGACCCACUUGUACGGUGAUGGCUGUGCUCUUCCAUGCAGGAAGGGUGUCUUCAAGUGAGGAAGCUUGAUUACAAAGUCUG
rnacentral:lncRNA from 1 species